GAUGUAGCUCUUGAUCAAAUGUUAAAAUGUUGGUUGUCUUGACUGAAGAAAGUUAGCUGCUAGAUCAGCCAAGGAAGGUCUCGUAAAUUCCUUUAUAAUCAUCACUUCAUGCCUGAAAAGGUACUUUAUUACCAUCACUAUGGGAAUCUCUUGAAUAGAGCAGUUGUAUGAGUGGCUUUGGUUAUCCAACUGUUUCGCUCUGUCAACAACAAAAAGACGAAUGAAAGAAAAAGGUUACCAAAAAAAAAAGGAAAAAUUUUCAAUGUCGGGACGAAUAAAACGCCGGAGCAGCAACAAGCAACAGCAG